AACUCUAGGUUAAGAACUCCUGGACUACAAGACCUCCAAGAUAGCUUUAUGGCACCGUCACAUGUACUUCUCCUCCAUAUGGCUUCCUGUCAUCCUAGCAAAAGCUCCUUUUAGCUGAUGUUCUUCCCAGUGCUGACAACCCAGAAAUGCACUCUCAGACAUUUCCCAUCAUGGAAACUCCAGUUCUAGUCCAGGUUGAUCUGUCAAUGACAGCUCCAGGAGAGUAAGCAAUGAGUAGUACUCAAAAGCUCUCCAAAAAGUGUGUCAUGAUGAUUUUUAUUAUCAUAAUGGCUUUCCACUGACAGUGAUGUUGCUUGUACCAUGAGUACUUAAAAGCACAUGGAAAGUCUGAGAGAGGCAGUGGCUGAGAGAGGAUGUCAUGAAUCACUGAGCACAUGUGUUCUACAUGGGGACCAUUUCCAUUUCUGAAUAAAUGAUGUGAUAAUCUGAGAGAAAAUGUGCAGGAUAGAUUUUCAUAAACCAAACCCUAAAAGCUCAGUGAGAUCCCAGAACUCUUUUACAGGAGGCCAGAGAGACUUUCAGCACUUUGAAUGUUUGCAUCUGAAAGCUGCUGAGGGGUGUGGGACAAGAACUUUUUGCCCAAGCACAGUGGGAAAGACAAAAGAAAGAAGAAGGAAUUCCUGCUCUCUAAGAGCUUGCUCUCUUAUGGAGGAAGCAAAAAACAGACCUUCAAAGCUGAAAAUGAGAACAGAAAGUACCAGAAGCCAGAAAGGUUGGCCUAACAUCUUUGUUGUCAGCUGGGUACUCAGCCCAUUAAGAGACAUUCGAGUUCAGCUGGAGACAGGCAGCUUCAAAGACAACUGUUCUUACCUUCCAACUGGGAUUUGGUCAUGAGCUGCUGUAUCAGCACAGUCAAACCUAGUCACAGUCACACCUAGGCACAGCGCAUUUCUUCUCCUACCCCAAUUCAAUUCAACAAAUAGUUAUUAGUGCCCAUUACUGCAAGGCUCUGUGCUGGGUCCUGGGGAUAUAAAGUCAACAAAUAAAACUGUCCUUGCUUAAGAGAUAUGGCA
rnacentral:lncRNA from 1 species